rnacentral:rRNA from 1 species
GACGAACGCUGGCGGCGUGCUUAACACAUGCAAGUCGAACGGAAAGGCCUGCUUUCCCUUGUGGAUUGCGGGUACUCGAGUGGCGAACGGGUGAGUAACACGUGAGUGAUCUGCCCCCAACUUGGGUAUAAGCCUGGGAAACUGGGUCUAAUUCCCGAUAGGACUGCAGGGUGGUGCCUGUGGUGGAAAACGAUUUUCUAGUGGUUGGGGAUGAGCUCGCGGCCUAUCAGCUUGUUGGUGGGGUAAUGGCCUACCAAGGCGGCGACGGGUAGCCGGCCUGGGAGGGGGGACGGCCACAUUGGGACUGAGAUACGGCCCAGACUCCGACGGGAGGCAGCAGUGGGGAAUAUUGCACAAGGGGCGGAAGCCUGAUGCAGCGACGCCGCGUGGGGGAUGACGGCCUUCGGGUUGUAAACUCCUUUCGACCGCGAGGAAGCCACCUGGUUGGAAGGGUGGUGACGGUAGUGGUAGAAGAAGCACCGGCUAACUACGUG